CACACCUACCCAUCGUGCACUGGGCGUGGAAGUAGAAGAAUGUCCUUGUGGAAAGGGAGUGGGUAAAGCUCGAGUUAUGUACCUUGUGUUUGACCGUAAUUAACUGGGAAAUUGUGGUUUGUGUGCCUAUUAUCUUAGAGAGUUGAUAUAUGUUCAGUAAUUGCUCAUAGUCACAUCUGAAGAAAACCGUUGUGAAUUGCGUAAAUGGAAGGUAGAACUGAAUGCUGACGUAGAACUGUGAAAAAGGAUUCUUUGAUUUUCUUACGCCAAUGUUAUUUGGAACACUGUGCAAGGAAGUCAGAGCUCGAGCGUUGUUGUUUGUAUUUUAAAUGUCUUAUGAAUUAAAUUAGUAUAUUGUGCAUAUUCUUGGUGUGAUAGUUUCAUGAGUGUCGGACCAAGCCCAUAAAACAGGCCUAUUAAUGAAGUUUGGCCUAUGUAAACAGUUUGAUGUUUUUGAGUUAUUCGUACAUUUAAAAGCCUAGAUUUGUGCUCCAUAAACCUUGAUUAUUCAUCUGAGAGGAAGGAUAAUUGUUACAAGAGUUUAGAGAGUGUAAUUACUGCUUCGUUGGACAUUAUGGCUAUAGGGGCCAAGGGUGAUAAGUCAUAUUCCAGCUCACCAUGCCAAGUAGUUGGGAUAACCAUGCACCUUUUGUGAUCUCAUCAUCCUUUGAUGAUCCUAAUGUUGAUGGUCUUCUUAAAACAGGAAAACCCAAGGAGGAGCAGCUCGAAUGGGGUUUGAAUGGCCCCAUCGAUCACAAGCCUGAUCAGACAUCGAUGAAGGUCGCUAUGACGAGUAGCAACCAGUUGGUCGACUCUUGUCUUCUGCUCUGCAAAGGCUGUGCAGGGCUCUUGUAGCUAGGGCACAGGCAGCUCACUCCUUAGAUCCCAGUUCAAUUUCCAGUCGAUCCAUGUGGGAUUUAUGGCCAUCAGACUGCACUGAGGCAAGUUUUUCAGGGAUUUUCGUGAUUUCCCUUUGAAAUGUAUCACCAUCCACUCCAUUGUUUCCAAUACAAUGCUGCUUAACCCUUGAAGUUGGUACAUCAUAAUUCAGUGAUAGCCCAUCUGUUUGUUUUGUGAUGGUUCACAUUUUGAAAGAAGUAAAUAAGUUUAUGAGAUACUAUUUCCUAUUGUUGGAAUCUGUAGGACCACUUUAUUCUCCCAAGUGCACUUUGAAUGUGUAAAUACCACUGCAUGGAGUCUUUAUUAGUGUUGCAUUUUGGCAGUCCAUGCACAAAUGUAACUAAAACAUGUUGAUUGAGGUUUAUGUGUGUAUAAUCUCAUACUGUAAUGCAGAGAUAGUUUUGCAGAUUCCAGAAUAAGUAUCACAUAUGAGAAACAUAAGUAUUAAUGAUAUUCAUAAUAUCAGUGGUGUUUUAAAUGGAUGUUCACUGUUCUUUACUAAAAUGUGAUUUGAACAUAUGAGUGCAGCUGUCACUGUGUAUGCUUCUGCCCUCAAACUGUUUUUAUGGAGACUGUUAAGUAAUACAUAAGAUUUCAGGUUCUCACUGCAGUGAAUACUAUCUCCGUGAUCUUCUGGGAUAUGAUACCAUCAUGUGGUUUGGUAGAUGGUAGGUUACCAAGGUCUUGGAGGAAAACUGGUGCCUCUAGCUUCAGGUCAUUUACCCUAAAGAUGGAGGCAGCAUGUUCUUCAAAAACAUCAGUAACUGGUGUAUCAAACCACCAAGUAGGUUGCUGUAAUGGUAAUUCUUGAGACUUCUGUUCAGGAAGUUUGCAGUUUGAUUCUUAUCUGGGACACUAGUCAUCCUAACCGAGAUUUUAGGUUCUUUUUUUCAGUCCCUCCAAAAUGCUGGGUUAAUACUUCCAUUGAGUCAUGGGUGUUAUCUUUAAAAUCUUCUGCAAUUUGUUAUUCACCAAUUAUCCUUUGAUUUUAUACCAUAUUCUCUGAGAUACUGACAGCAUCAUAAAAUAAACCACAUACAAAAAUAACAAAGUUUCACAUCACAGAAGACUGAAGUCUUAUUAAAUAAUACAAUUGAGAAACAUUUGCUGCUCCUUGUUUUUAUAUGUUACAUAGUUCAAGCGGCAUCAUUAUGAUCAGUUUAUCAUUACUUGUACUGAAUUAAAGUAUGGUAAUUUGAUUCCAUCCACUAUUAAAUAAGAGGUAGAAUAAAUGAAGAAAGCAGUCUUCUGGGAUUUGGCACCGUGUAAAAUGCUGAAGAUUCUCAUGUUAUUCUGUUUAAAGCUGUUGUCUUACCUAAUUUCCAAAUACUAGAAAUGAAGAUGCAGUGGAUAAGAACAAAAGUGGAAGUUGUAUAUCCACUUCUGGUGGUGUUAUGAUGGUUAAAUAAAGGACUCUUGGAUGAUCAGGAUAUGUAACUUGGAUGUUUGAAACAAGAAAUACAGAAUUUUGUUGAAUGAACCUUCUGGAAAUGUGGCCGUUAGGAAAACCAGGAUACAAGUAUGAUGAUGAUCUUCUGUUUUGUCUUUGAGAAACAGUUUUGGUGAUGUUGAUCAGAACUAAGUAGCUCAGAAUAUGUUCUGGUGAUGGUUUUUGUUGUUUGUGUUAGUACUUAUUUUCUGCAACUGGAGCGUUGGUAUACACUGUUGUUAGGAGGUCCAGAGCUGGACCAUGGCCAGGAGUCAUUGAGUGAGGUUUCUUGUGAAUUUGUCUAGACAUUAACUUACAUAUGAUUCCAGGGCUGAAUUAGUAAGAACACAAGUUAUGGAGGAACAAAACCAAUCUAUACUAGAAGAUGUGUUGGAAAUAUUUAAAAUUAGGAAUCAGAUCUUCUGACUCAGUCUUUGAAAUUACUACUGUGCCUACAUUUGAUGAGGAAAGAAGUCUGUACUCAUUACCAUAAUAAAUUGCACUAAAUAUUCUGAUAAAAACGCAUGUUUAUCAUUAUUCCCAGUAACUAUUAGCUAACUUUUUUUUUUUGUUUUCAGUAAUUGCUAAAUCAGUAACAGUCUGAUCUUUUUACAUUUUUGCAUACUUUUUUACAUUGUCACAAAAUGAGUGCAGUCUGAUGUAAACAAGAGAAUAAACAGAAAAUUAAUUGUACAAAGAUUUUGUUGUGCAUUCAAUAGUUUGACCACAUAUGUCAUUAAGAAUCCUAGUUGAAGCAUAUUGUACUUCUACAAGAUAACUCGUCUGAACUGACUGAAGCCAAAUGCACAAUAUGUGCUGUUAGCAACAACCAAAAGGUUAUACGUGAUAAUUUUCUCACAUUGAAAUUGCUGGAAAUAUUGUUAUUAACUCACCGAUUUAAUCUCAAUAUAAUGGAUGUUUAAAAUCUGAAAUCCAUUGAGUGACUGUUUCCUGCUGUGUUUAGCUUGGUGUAAGUUAUGAGUACUUCUGCAUGUUUAUAGUAUUCCCUCUUUUUCUCAACAUGCUGGCAGUAUUAUUUUCUUAUUUUUGAAACAGAUACAGAAUUCCUGUUUCUAUUAGCAGUCACUUGAUCCUGAAAUUAAAUUUAAUCCAUUCCUAAUAGUGUGAGUAGUGCAUGUUACACUUCUUGGGUUAUAAAUUGUGUAAUGAUUGUUUCACUUUUAUGUAUACAUUUAUGAUGAACCAAAGAACAAAUGAGAAACAUGGAGAUGUGUUAUCUUACACAGUAGUGAGAAUUUGAUUUGCAUUACUUUGACUCUUACAACGUAGGAGGAGGUCACAGUGCAUUGCUGUUAAAUCUCUUGAUAUAACAUGGUUCAUCCAUAGUAGGUAUGAAUUCAGUUGAUGUUGAACACAUUAUUCUGCACAUUGUAAAGAAUAUUUCUGAUAGUCCCCACCUGCUGCGAUUAGUUUGUAUGCAUUUAAAAUUUUUUUAUGUCUAUAAUUUAUUGACUCACCAUGAAAUAAUAUGCACGUAUAAACAAUAUAUUAUUAGUGCAUCACAUAUUGUUAUAAAUGUAUGAACUGUGAAGAAUAUACAAGCUUUCCCUAUAAUGAAAUGUUGAUUGACUAAUGGAUUUGCUCUUAGUUGACAUUAUUUUUGAAAGGGAAAUUUAACACUUUGAUCAUCUUGUCAUCCAUUGGACUACAUGAAUCAAGUUUCUCUUCUCUGCAACAUUCUUUUAUAAUUUAUUGGACAUAAUUUCAGUCCAAAACAUGUCAUUUAAUACAUGAUAAUUAAUGUCUUCAUCUUAUGAUUCAGAAUUCAUAAGAAUUUCAGUAGUAACAUCACACACUUAUUUUGUAUAGCCACUGCUGUAGCAAGUGUCAGUGGCAAACUGCAUUUUACUUCAUUCAGAAUUAGAAAGUCCAAAUAAUAUAACUAUGAUUUGAGGUUUUCAUGACAGUGAGAAUUAAGAUUGUGGCCUUGUGAGUUACAACAUUAUGUAGUAUUUUAAAUGGUUACCAGAGUUUUGGAGCAGUCUGUGCUUUCAUCUUCCGGAUUGAAAUCAAUCUAGUUGGGAUGUAUGUAGGUUAUGUAGGAAGUGUGGCCAGUAUAAAUGUGGAAUGUGAGGUGACCUAAAAUGAGAUGGCUGUGAAGAAAGCCCAUAAGAAGGCACACCUCUCAAGGAGGAAGGCCCUACAAAAGGGCAGCUUUAAAAAAAAUGGACAAUGCUGAAAAGGUGGAACUUUCAGGGUGGGUCCUAAAAGGGACAACUUUCAGCGAAGGUAAUAAUAGUGGUCUCUUCAAGAAACACCCUAUAAGUUGGCCUCUUAAAAAAGUCCCUUACAAGGGUCCUCUUCAAAGAAGGUGCCCUUGUCAGAUAUAUUUUGAAAGUUGCCCCUUUCUCGCUGCGUUUUUUGAUAGUUGCUGUCACUACCAACACUGUUGUAUCCCUCUUCCUAUUGGUGACCUUCCUAUAUAAUCCUCCCACUUCCAGACUUAAUCUCGCAUCUCUCCUGAAGAUGGAGGUAGAAGGUUCCUUCAAAUAUGGACAAGCAAUUAGAAUACUGUGUGGUGUCAUAACCCAGAAGACCAUAUUUUAAAAGAAUUUAGAACUUCAGGCUAGCUUUGCUGAAUAAUGAAAGAUUGCAGCAUGUGAUGGAUAUUCUGAAACCUACAACAUGUAAGUGUAUGUGCAUCUGAACCAGAGCCUACUUUCAUCUCUACUUGCAUGUCCAUAGACGUCAAAGUACAUAUGCUAAUCCUUUUGCAACCACCAGUUUUUCAAGAAGAAGAAGAAGAAGAAGAGAUUGUAGACAUUGAAAUUAUAACAUUAAACAUUUUUUUAUAAAUGGUAUGAUUCUGUUAAUUCUUAAUUAUGGAAUUGUAUUAUCUCUUAAAUAUCUGCGUACAUGCAUGUAUGCAUACAGUAUGUCUGUGAUCAUUCUUUCUUUCGUUUGGUCAGACCCUUUAACAUUAUUGGAAAGUUCCUGGACUAGGUCAAAAAAGAAUGCUGCUUUAACUCCCUCAAUUUUGGUUGCCAUCUCCUUCAUAUAAUCUUCCUUGGGAAUGUAUACAGCGAUGCCAACUUUAUUCCAAGCUUCAGAAGUACCGUGGAAGUAAUUUUCCUUAAUGCUGUUGAGUACCACUUGUGAUUCCUUUUGGAUGUCAAACACUGUUUCAAAACGUUGUCCCUUCAGUUUCAUUUUCAAUUUGGGAAACAAAUCAAAAUCGCAGGGUCCUAAGUCUGUUGAGUAUGGAGGAUGGGGAAUGAUAACGUGUUGUUAUUAGUCACAAAUUGUGGUUUUCAGGGACGUGUGGGUGGAUGCAUUAUCAUGAUUGAGCCAAUUGUGUUUGGUCUGAAGUUUUGGUCUUUUUCGUCACACAUUUUCUCUCAAACAUCUCAAAACGUCACAGUACAAGUAAAAGUCAGAGUUGACCGUACUGUUAGGAGGAACAAAUUCAGGGCAAACAGUGCUCUUCAUAUCGAAAAAACAAUAUGUUCUUUGUUGAACUCUCGACUUGCCGUUCACUUUUUGCUCUUUGUGAUUUUGGGCUCUUCCACUGCAAUGAUUGUCGCUUUGUUUCUGGGUCAUAAUCAUAAAUCCAACUUUCAUCGCCACUUGAGUUGCAGCAAUGUUUCCAGUAGUAUAAACGUUUCAGUGAUGAUUUCA